AUGGUGGAGUUGCAUACCACGCUGGGGGACUUUCACAAUGCUUUCCACGUGCUUGAGAAAUGGCAGUUGCACUCGCACGCACUAUGUCUUCUUCUUAGAGUGUUCGACAAUUUGGCCAUGACUAGGAACGAGCUGAAGUCUCAUAAUUGGGUCGUGUGGAGGGUUUCAGCCCAUUUUGCACGCACACGGCACACCCAGUCAUUCGCCUCCUUCUCCCUGCCGCCGCCAGUCGCCGCCCUGCCGGCGCCGCCAGUCGCCGCCGCUCGCCUCCUUCUCCCUGCCGUGGGCGCCGCCGCCAGUCGCUGCCACUCUCCCACGCACAGCCCUGCUCCUGCGGCCGCGCCACCCCGCCAGUCGCCGCCGCUCGCCUCCUUCUCCCUGUCGUGGGCGCCACCGCCAGUCGCUGCCACUCUCCCACGCACAGCCCUGCUCCUGCGGCCGCGCCACCCUAGUCGACGAAGCUGCUUCCGCCCUUGUAUAUCCACGCUUGCCGUCAUGGACCUCUGCGGCGCGUCCCUGUAUCUGGACGUGUGCAUGCUCGUCAAAAGAAAUGUUCUUACGGAAUACAUUGUCAUCUGGUACAUGGUGUUUAUCCGUGGGUCAUUUGUGCUGGAUAGUGGGGGGAGGGGGGGGGGGCGUAGCCACGUGUUUGACAUGGAAUAUGGGAGUGCCACCCUGGAGGACAUUGCAGAAUAUGACACGAUAGUCAGUCAAAUUUUUGGCAGCGAGGAAGAAGGUUACAAUUACUAUAAUGCAUAUGCUCGGUCAAAGGGUUUUGGUGUUAGAAAGGAAGAACUGACUAGGAAGUCGGACAUGAACAUAGCUUUUCGGCGCCUCUAUGUCUGCUCUAAAGAAGGAUAUCGGGCGAGGAAGCACUUUGAGAAGACUAAACGGGUGCGAACUCCUAGGCCGCUGUCACCUUGUGGAUGUGGUGCUCGGAUGGAGAUCGAGCUUCGUAUGGAUAAUGGUGAACGGUUUGUAAAAGAUUUUGUGGACGAACAUAACCAUCCACUCGCUAAGCCUGAGCAGACAACUUACAUAAGGUCACAUCGUGGGCUAAGUGAUGUGCAAAAGGCUGAUGUCAUUGAGUAUGGAAUUGGUGGCCUUCGGACACAUCAAAUAAUGGAAGUAAUGGAGAACGAUAGUGGUGGUUUCAGCAAGGUAGGCUUUAUACCUCGGGACCUGUAUAAUUUUGUUGCCAAGUACAAGAAGGAAAGGAUAGAAGGCCCUGAUCCACUUGAGAGAAGUGCUGCUCUCAUUUAUACUCCAGUGGUGUUCAAGAAGGUAAAACAUCAAAUCAUGCAGUUGUCAAAAUGGGAAGUAGUAGAAGUGACCAAGAAUGAUGCUUUUGUUCUGUAUACAGUAGCUCGCAAAGAGAGUAGGCAUGUGACGUAUGAUGUGAGGUUUGUCAUGGCAGGCCCGUUGCUUCAGAGCUUGAAUUGCCGUUGUCUAAAGAUGGAAUCGGAGGAGAUCCCAUGCGCUCACAUUUUUUCUGUUCUAAAAUACCUUGGCUUAGUCAGCAUUCCUAGGUGUUGUGUCUCAACAAGAUGGACGAUGGUAGGCAAGUCCGCAUUUGACUCAGAGAGGAAUGGUAAUAUGCAUGAAUGGUCUGAGCGGAUGGAUCGUUACCAUGAACUCCGGAACAUUUGUAGUCUGUAUUUAUUCAAAGCUUCAAACAGGCAGGAGACGUCACAAAAGGUGGUGGAUUUUCUCAAGGGUAUUAUAGCUGAAGGCGGCGAAGAUGGUGGGGAAAAUGAGGCAGCAUCACUGGGCCUUCUUCCAGCAUAUUUUUCAGGGUCAAGCCAAGCAUGUCUAGGAAAUGUCCGGAAUCCAAAAAUAAUUAAACCGAAAGGUGCUCCAUCCAAGACAUCCAACAAGAGGUGGAAGCCGUUUAACGAGAUUUGGAAUGAAAACAAUGUUCCGAAGAAGUGA
rnacentral:rRNA from 1 species